UACAGAGGGGGCAAGCGUUGCUCGGAAUUACUGGGCGCAAAGGGCGCGUAGGCGGGAUGGCAAGUCGGUCGUGAAAUCCCUCGGCUCAACCGAGGAACGUCGAUCGAUACUGCUGUUCUUGAGGAUUGCAGAGGAGACUGGAAUUCCCGGUGUAGCGGUGAAAUGUGUAGAGAUCGGGAGGAACACCGGUGGCGAAGGCGGGUCUCUGGGCAAUUCCUGACGCUGAGGCGCGAAAGCGUGGGGAGCAAACGGG
rnacentral:rRNA from 1 species